UUUAUGGAGAGUUUGAUCCUGGCUCAGGAUGAACGCUGGCGGCGUGCCUAAUACAUGCAAGUCGAGCGAACGGACGAGAAGCUUGCUUCUCUGAUGUUAGCGGCGGACGGGUGAGUAACACGUGGAUAACCUACCUAUAAGACUGGGAUAACUUCGGGAAACCGUAGCUAAUACCGGAUAAUAUUUUGAACCGCAUGGUUCAAAAGUGAAAGACGGUCUUGCUGUCACUUAUAGAUGGAUCCGCGCUGCAUUAGCUAGUUGGUAAGGUAACGGCUUACCAAGGCAACGAUGCAUAGCCGACCUGAGAGGGUGAUCGGCCACACUGGAACUGAGACACGGUCCAGACUCCUACGGGAGGCAGCAGUAGGGAAUCUUCCGCAAUGGGCGAAAGCCUGACGGAGCAACGCCGCGUGAGUGAUGAAGGUCUUCGGAUCGUAAAACUCUGUUAUUAGGG
rnacentral:rRNA from 2 species